rnacentral:tRNA from 1 species
AUUUAUUUAGUAUAUUUAGUACAUUUGACUUCCAAUCAACUAGAUUGAUUAAAUCAAAAUAAAUA